rnacentral:rRNA from 1 species
GUAACAGGUCGUAGACCCGAAACCAGGUGAUCUACCCAUGUCCAGGAUGAAGGUAAGGUAAUACUUACUGGAGGUCCGAACCCACGCACGUUGAAAAGUGCGGGGAUGAGGUGUGGGUAGCGGAGAAAUUCCAAUCGAACUUGGAGAUAGCUGGUUCUCUCCGAAAUAGCUUUAGGGCUAGCCUCGAGGUAAAGAGUCAUGGAGGUAGAGCACUGUUUGGACUAGGGGCCCUUCUCGGGUUACCGAAUUCAGAUAAACUCCGAAUGCCAUGUACUUAUACUCGGGAGUCAGACUGCGAGUGAUAAGAUCCGUAGUCGAAAGGGAAACAGCCCAGACCACCAGUUAAGGUCCCCAAAUAUAUGUUAAGUGGAAAAGGAUGUGGGGUUGCUUAGACAACCAGGAUGUUGGCUUAGAAGCAGCCACCAUUGAAAGAGUGCGUAAUAGCUCACUGGUCGAGUGACCCCGCGCCGAAAAUGUACCGGGGCUAAACAUAUUACCGAAACUGUGGAUGAACCUCUUUAGAGGUUCGUGGUAGGAGAGCGUUCUAAGGGCGGUGAAGUCAGACCGGAAGGACUGGUGGAGCGCUUAGAAGUGAGAAUGCCGGUAUGAGUAGCGAAAGAAGGGUGAGAAUCCCUUCCACCGAAUAUCUAAGGUUUCCUGAGGAAGGCUCGUCCGCUCAGGGUUAGUCGGGACCUAAGCCGAGGCCGAUAGGCGUAGGCGAUGGACAACAGGUAGAGAUUCCUGUACCAGUGCUAAUUGUUUAACCGAUGGGGUGACACAGAAGGAUAGGGAAUCGCACGAAUGGAAAUGUGCGUCCAAGCAGUGAGUGUGAGAAGUAGGCAAAUCCGCUUCUCGCGAAGCAUGAGCUGUGAUGGGGAAGGAAAUUAAGUACGGAAGUUCCUGAUUUCACGCUGUCAAGAAAAGCCUCUAGGAAGAGUAGUACUGCCCGUACCGCAAACCGACACAGGUAGAUGAGGAGAGAAUCCUAAGGUGAGCGAGAGAACUCUCGUUAAGGAACUCGGCAAAAUGACCCCGUAACUUCGGGAGAAGGGGUGCUCUAUUAGGGUGCAAGCCCGAGAGAGCCGCAGUGAAUAGGCCCAGGCGACUGUUUAGCAAAAACACAGGUCUCUGCAAAACCGUAAGGUGACGUAUAGGGGCUGACGCCUGCCCGGUGCUGGAAGGUUAAGAGGAGUGCUUAGCUUCGGCGAAGGUACGAAUUGAAGCCCCAGUAAACGGCGGCCGUAACUAUAACGGUCCUAAGGUAGCGAAAUUCCUUGUCGGGUAAGUUCCGACCCGCACGAAAGGCGCAACGAUCUGGGCACUGUCUCAACGAGAGACUCGGUGAAAUUAUAGUACCUGUGAAGAUGCAGGUUACCCGCGACAGGACGGAAAGACCCCGUGGAGCUUUACUGCAACCUGAUAUGGAAUGUUUGUACCGCUUGUACAGGAUAGGUAGGAGCCGAAGAGACGUGUGCGCUAGCAUACGAGGAGGCAAUGGUGGGAUACUACCCUGGCUGUAUGACCAUUCUAACCCGCCACGCUUAGCGCGUGGGGAGACAGUGUCAGGUGGGCAGUUUGACUGGGGCGGUCGCCUCCUAAAGAGUAACGGAGGCGCCCAAAGGUUCCCUCAGAAUGGAUGGAAAUCAUUCGCAGAGUGUAAAGGCACAAGGGAGCUUGACUGCGAGACUGACAAGUCGAGCAGGGACGAAAGUCGGGCUUAGUGAUCCGGUGGUUCCGCAUGGAAGGGCCAUCGCUCAACGGAUAAAAGCUACCCCGGGGAUAACAGGCUUAUCUCCCCCAAGAGUCCACAUCGACGGGGAGGUUUGGCACCUCGAUGUCGGCUCGUCGCAUCCUGGGGCUGUAGUCGGUCCCAAGGGUUGGGCUGUUCGCCCAUUAAAGCGGCACGCGAGCUGGGUUCAGAACGUCGUGAGACAGUUCGGUCCCUAUCCGUCGCGGGCGCAGGAAAUUUGAGAGGAGCUGUCCUUAGUACGAGAGGACCGGGAUGGACACACCGCUGGUGUACCAGUUGUUCCGCCAGGAGCAUCGCUGGGUAGCUAUGUGUGGCAGGGAUAAACGCUGAAAGCAUCUAAGCGUGAAGCCCCCCUCAAGAUGAGAUUUCCCAUUUCUUCGGAAAGUAAGAUCCCUGAAAGAUGAUCAGGUAGAUAGGUUUGGAGUGGAAGUGUAGCGAUACAUGGAGCGGACAAAUACUAAUCGAUCGAGGACUUAACCAAAA